AGGAACCGCUCGUACAUGACGGUUCCUCCGCCAUCCGCACCCGGCUGACUAUCGCUCGCUACUUUUUGCAGCU
rnacentral:sRNA from 1 species